GAUUUUCUCUCUAUUUCAAAAUUCAAAUUGAUUUUUAAUACAUUUUCUCACAACUGCUCCAUCAACUGCAGACAUUUGCCCACGGAAAACAUGUUGUAACACUCUUGUAGGUAAAUGUGAGGCUGCAGGGCUAAAUCCAGUUGCUAAUAAACAUGCAAAAGAAUGUGAAAGUGGCGUCCUUGGAGAUGGCUGGUCGGUCCAUUCCAGGUUCUCCCUGGGCUUUUGCAAAUGACAUGAGGAAAAUGAUCAACAAAAAGGAAUUCAGGUUUUGUUGAAAUGUUUUAAAUUAUAGUAGUUAGUUUGCACUGUAUUGAUAGAAAUCGAAGCCAUCAAUCCAGAUGGAUAUCAUGGAUAUUGGAGCUUCAUAGACUGCGCAUGUUUCACCUUGUUGGGCAGUUAAUUGGGAC